UCUGAAGGGACUUCUUCUACCUGAUGAUUAAUCCUAUCUAUCUACUUCCACAGGGAGGCUGUUUGAUCACAUUUGCUGUCUACAUCUGGGCCUUAUACAAUAUUGACAAAAAGUACAAAUGAAACAUAUGUAUUAUUAAAGUAAAACCACACUGUCCCAGAAGGACAGGUAUGUAAUACUCACUGAAAAAUAUUUUCUUCAGAAAUGGUGUUAGAAAUAUUUAAGGAAGUGAUGCAUUCAUACAUUCAUACAUUGAAAUCAUCAGCCAAAUUAAUUUCUCUACUUUUUUUUUUUUUUUUUUUCUUUUGUAAACAGAUAAAUCUUAAUAGGAAAGAAGGUUUACCAGAGUAAAACUAUUAUACGGCAGAUUGGGAAUUUGCUGAUUUCGUUAUAAUUUUAAAUGCUAUGACUUCUUUCACACUUUACAACAAUGAGCAACUAUCAAGUGAAUACUCUAAAAGAUAAAGCAUGUAGAAAGACACAAGCAUUUUUUUGAUAUCACAUCUCUGAAACCAAAGGAACUGCUGCCCUUGCCCCCUGAUGUAAAUAAGGAAUUCUUAAACUGGCUAAAGUUCAUUCUUGUUUUUCUAGUAUACUAAAUGCUAGAAAAGGAACACAAAUAUUUUCUUUUUAUCAUUUAGUUAUGUAUUUCCUCCAUGUUCCUUUAUUUCUUUCAUAGUUCAUUUUAUUCUUUUUCCCCUGUUCCCUCAAGUGUCUCAUUCUGAAGGCAAAUUCAAGUUUCUUUUAGCACUCUUUAAACCCUUCCCAUUACCAUAUUUUUAUGCUUUAAAAAAUUAUAUUAUGCAUUUUUCAUUAAUCUUUUGCUCUCAUAGAGUCUUUUUUUUCCCCCAUAAGUGACAUCAUGGCUAUUAAGCCAGAGCAACAUAAUUGUUAACUGGGAUUUAACCCUUCCAUUGAGUAAAAUAAAACGCAGUAAGGUAACAAUUCUUAUUUUUCUACUUUGUUUUAAAUCAGCUUUGGUAUUAGUUUUAAGAGCAAGCUUUCUGCUUUAAGGGAUUUGAUGAUCACUAACUGACAAAUGUUAAUAAGUUUGAGAUUUACAGAGCUUCUGGAGACUACUAUGAGAAUCUGAAAGCUGAAUCUGAGAUGAUGUUCACCUACAGCUCUGGCAUUGUGGCAUUGCAGCAUCGCCACUAAAACAUAAAGAAAUGUAAAAAAAAAAGAACCAAAAAUUAGUUUAAUAAAGUCAAUCUGCCAGGACAGCAUCCAGUGUAGUCUCCUCAUCACUGCUCUCAGGGAGGAGGAAUGUUAGUCAUCAGACACGGUAAGGGAACAGACCAAAAAUAAAAGAAGGUGUCUGUGGUUGAACAAAAAGUCUGUGAGGAAAUUAUGAGAAUUGAGCAGAGCCAAGCCAGCAUUAUAUAAAAAAGUCAGAAAAAGUUGCCCUUUAAGUAUGGAAUUUUUCAUCCACUAUCUGGUGUUUGCACAGAAUAGACAGUAAGUAGUUCCCAGCAGCUCUUAGGCUUUAGUAAAACAUUAAAGUGAGAUUUAAAUCAGUGAUGCUAACUUUGUACAGUACUGUCUUAGCAAACUCAUUACAGAUUCCCUUAUUCUGCCCUUUCCCUUCAUCUCAGCUGGUAAGAAACACUGGUGCUGUUAUUUCUCAAGGGCUGACAAAGGUCCAUUAUUAUGUAUGAGAAGGAGAAGUGAAUGCCAUGAAACCUGGACACAAACUAUUUCUUUCCAUCUUUGCAAAUUUCUUUAUCCUACAUUUUUAAUUUUCACCGUUAGCAAAAAGAUACCUUGUGCAUUCACAAUUUUGUCUCCAGGGUGAACUUUCCAGCUGUCCUCAGCAUAGAUUGCUAACCUAUCCAUUAGCCUUUGAUCAUAAACCUGACCAGUUUGCCUUGAGACAUCUUUCUGGAUUUGAUAGCCACAGUUUCAAUUUCUGACAAACAGCUGGAGGAGGAAGAAGCUGAACUGACUGAACAGCAAAUAAAGAUCUUUUUUUAUAAGACUAUCCUAUGCUAUACAGACUAUUUAGUAUGUGGGCAGCAGACUUGCAAAUUUGUCUGUCAGCAUUGCUUUUGAAUAUUUUUUCAGACAGAUAACACUAGUGACACCUUAAUGUCUUUAUCAGUCUUGGCUCAGUAAGGGGAAAGUCGAACUGUAACAUCAUGUUCUCCUGCUUAUUUUUCUGCCAGGAUCAAACUGAAACAGGAGACAUCCCUUGGCUUUAAAAAUAUACUAGAAUUUUUACUAAAAUUACUUGAUAUUGUCAUUGAGUUUUCUCUGACCAUAGCUGAAAUAUUUGAAUUCCAGAAGAAUCAUGUGUAAUUUACACUGAAGCAGAAGAAGAAAUUUCUGACAUCUGAGAAUGACUGAGAAGCUUCAGGCAGAAAUCAAACUGUUAUUAGCUUUUUAAGUACUUGUUGCCACAUUGACUUGUAUGUGAUCUUUGUCACAGUCCCAUAUACAAGACAUGUUUCCUUUUGAAAGACUGGUGCCAGAGAGCUUCAGUGUUUUCAUGUCUUCAAUGAUGACAGCACUCAGUUCUGAGGUCAUGCCUGGGCAGAAAUUGCCUACUGGGAGUUGUUUCUGAGUUGGAACAUUUCACUUAAGAAUAGUAGAAAUGACUGACAAUAGCAAAAAACAAAAAGAAAAAGCCAAACAACCCUAGCAGUACUAAUGGACCCACUGCUUCCAAAAAACCUGUUGAGGAACCAGAUGGGAAUUGUCUGUGGGUAAACUCUGUGUUUCUGAGUCAAUAAGCGAAUGAAGUGUUAAAUAAAGAAAACAAAUCCAAAAAAGUUUCCCUUUCCCUUUCCCUUUCCCUUUCCCUUUCCCUUUCCCUUUCCCUUUCCCUUUCCCUUUCCCUUUCCCUUUCCCUUUCCCUUUCCCUUUCAUCACAUCUUUUUUGCCAAGCAUGAGAAAAAUGCAGAUCUUCUUGGUCAGGCACAGUAAAAUUAGGGAUGAAUGAAGGCAAUAUUCUUGCAAAUUGAAUUUCCCCAAGUGUUACGAAGGCCCUUUGCAGCUGGGUGGGUGACAGCCAGAUGUUAUAUAUUCCCAUUUUUUACCUCAGCAUGAGUUUUACCAGCACAUAGUCUGAAUAGGAUUCUCUUCAGUACCUUGCUGCCACUUUUAAUGACAAGGCUACUUUUUAACAUUGCCUUCUAAACUUCUGGCUGCACUCUCAGUUAUUUCCUUCCUCCUUGAACUGCCUCACCCCAAACUGACAGUUUAAUAGACAUAUUGUACCGUGUGGCCUAUGAUAAAGAAUUAUAGCAGUAGAAAGUGAUGGUGAAUAAACUAGUGCUAAAAGAUAUGGAAGGUUCAGCUGGGAUUUUGUGUAGAAAGAUAAUCACACUAACUUGGCUGAAGAUGUGAUUGAAAUGUAAAGGGUUGUUUUUCUGCUACUAGAGACAGAGGAAGUAGCAUGGAGCUUCCUAAAAGAUGGACCAAAAAUCCCCAUGGAGGCAAAUAGAGAGAAUUGCCAAGGUGACAAGGUAGGGGGGAGCUCAGAUACUCAGAUGCUCUGUGAACAGACUAUUAAAGCAGGGAUGAGCAGAAAAUAUAAUUGUGCCCUGCAGAGAACUGAGUGGGUGAAGUUGUUUGCCAUUGCCAAGAAGAGACCAAAACAUGAGAGUUUGGGUAUAUGAUCAUCUCCUGAAAACCCAGAAGAAUAACAUUUUGCCAGCGCACCUCCUAAAAGCAUUACAAAUGGGAGAAAUAGCUAUCGCUCAUUUCAAGACUUGGAGAAAAUACAAAGUAUGCCAGAAUUAUAAUACAAUCAACGUUGCCAGGAAUUUGAAUUUAAUGUUGUCUGGUUUAAAUUCCUAACUUUCAAAGAGAGUAGGUAUUGUUUAAAUAUGUUUUAAUACGAAUUUUAUCAUCAAAUUCCAUCAUUAUUUUAAAAACUAGGAAAAUAACUAAUUAUGGUGGAGAACAGGGACAGAUUUUAGACCUUAUUUCAUAAAUUCUGUCCCCAUUCAACAAUUUUGUGCCAUAUAGAGAUGGUGGUGGGGACAUAAAAGAAAAGAGAGGCAGUGCUAAUCUGAACUUGGGUAAAUUGAAGAAGACCGAACCCUUCAGGAAAAAGCAUGAAAGCUGUCUUGAUUUCAAGUUGACUGCCUCUGUGAGGUGGAGGAAGAAGAAGGCAGACAAAUUCAUGAGGAAAAAGAAAUGACAGAAACUGUCAGAUGUGACUAGUAAGCAAGAAGAUCUCCUAUCCUACAUUGUUUAGUAAAAAAUAUACACACAUGCUCCAAAUAAACAAAAAAAAAAUCAGCAUUUACCUACCCUCUUUGAAAGACCAUGUGCCAUAAAAGAACUGAGGGACGAGUUGUAUUCUUCAUUUUUGUUCUGAGUUACUCUGAAUUCCUUGGGAUCAGACUGCUCUGCAUGUUAUUGAAAGCGGGCUCUGGGGGGGCCAUUUCUGAACAGAGGUGCUGUUUACUGUGAUCCUGUUGGUGAAAGGAUGCAUUAUGUAAGAUAUAUUUGCAUGGUGUCCGUAUUUUUUUGCACUUGAUGUCUGUUUAUUCUGUUCAUGGACUGACUCAUCUCCUGGGGAUUCCUUCUUUCUAGAAAAUGAACUAAUAAAAUUCACAAGUACA